UGACGUACGAGUCGUCACUCCGGGCGCGCCUUGCGAGGCUUUUCGCGGCCUGCAGAGCUGCGUGGCUGGCCUUCCCAGAGGAGUGCUCCAGGAACGAAAGCUACGGAAGACGGAAGGACAUUUGCCAAAGAAAGGAUUGGCAUUUCAAGUAUUGCAGGAAGAGAGGGAACAGCUUAGUUCCCGGAGCCGGUCACGAUUGGUCGCGCUUCCUGUGACGUUAAAUGGCAGAGGCCAAAGGGAUUCCUCGGGCAGCCUCGCGGGACAAAGGCGGCAAAGGCAGAUACACUUACACGAAAUGUGGCACUUGUCGCAUCUGAGAUUCUCUUGGUUUUCUUGUUUUAACCUGUUCGUUUGUCUUCCAGUCCUGCUUCACCAAGGCCAGAGACUUGAAUCCCUGGUAACCCUAGGGCCUCGUACGUGUAGGCACUCAAAUACUGUUUCCUGAAAUAAUCCGAAUUCAUCUGUCUACAUAUGAAAAUAACCAACUGAGAAACGCCGGUGACAAUAGUUAAACGUUUGUUAGAUAGUUACUGUGUGGCAGGUAUUGCCUUUUAUGUGGAAACUCUUACUCCUCAAAGCAGCCCUAUAAAGUAUAUGUUACUAGAAUGUUAUUUUUCAGAUGAGGAAACUGAGUCAUAGGGUGAUUUGUCCAAGAUCAGAGAAUGAGGAAGUAGCAAGACUGAAGGACAUUAGCUCUGCACUUAAAACUACAAUGAAGUAUCAGUUUCCGUUUAAACAAAUUGUUUAAAUUGUAGGUGUCAAUUGUGAUCUAACCCUUAGUAAUUACUAAGAAGUCUUUUACACUUCUGUUUCAUCUUUUGUGGAAGAGAUGUACAUACCGAAAUAUCUUACACAUUUAAAACUUAAACUUUCAGACAUAUUACACAUGCUUAUUGUUUGCAUCCUCUAUGAUGUAUGAUUUUAUUGGAAAUUAGUGCAGUGUCUACAAAAAUAGGAACAUCUCUGAGGAUGCCAAAAGAUAAACCUUUAAAGAGUAUUGGAAAAUAAGUGAGCUACUAAAUUAAAAAGACAAGAUAAUUCUGAGAGGUGUUCUACAGUUUUUCUUGAUCAUUUAUGUAUAUGAUACUUUUAUCUAGAAAUUGAAUUUCAGAGCUGGAUGGAAAUGUAAAAGUCCAGUUCUUUCAUUUCAGUUCUGAGAAAGCUGAUCUGAAAGAGAUUAAAUGUUACUAGCCCAAAACUGAACAGAGUUUUACAACAAGCUGAAGUAGGUCUUUGGAUGUCCUAAUUUUAGAGUUCAGUAUAUUAAGUUCAUGAUACUGGCAUCAUGGUAUUCCAUAUGCAAAAUCAGAUUUUCGUAACAACAGUGAAAUUAGUGUGACUGGUAUAUUAUCCCCAUUUCCUUUCCUGGAAGUCACAUUGUUUUAGUGGCAAAAGCAGCUGCCUUCAAACCUGGAGCCUGUACUUGAAGGCUAGACCUCACGUCAAAUUUUGUUCUGCUGCACCAAGUCCUUGGGUGAGUUACUCAAGUCUUAGUCUCAGUCUCAGUCUUCUCAUCAGAAAAACGCUGUGCUAACACCUGUGAAGAAUUAUCAAAGAAGUAGAGAUUAUAUAACCCACUUAGCACAGAGCAAAUGUUUAAUAGCUGGGCUGGUUCUAAGAAAGUUUUCAGUCAUAGGAAUCUGUCAAAAGAAUUGGAAAAAAGGCAGGCUUUGCAAUGGCUCAGACUUGGACUGUGACCCUGACUCCAGCACUCACCUAGAAUAAGUACUUCACAUCUCCCCACUUUAGCCUCCUCCUCUGUGAAAUGGAAAUUACAAAGCCCCCUCACAGGUUGUGAGAUUGAAGCUAAAGUAUAUAAGGUGACUCCCCUAUUGUCUCUACAUGGAGGUUUGUUGUAUUAUUGACUAUCAUCAAAGGAGAUAAGUGGCAGCAUGGUGGUGUAGGUGGGGGGAAAAAUUGAGUUUCAGAGUCUGAAAAUGUGGUUACAGGUCCGUGCUGUAUUUUUUCACCCUGUGUUUUCUCCAAGUUUAGACCAUUCCCCUAACCUGAAGCCUCAAGUUCUUCAAAAUGUUUUGUGGCAGAUUUAGAAGGGGCAGUUCCUAGACUGCUGCAACAUCUACAGGAGAAAGGAUGGAUGAACAGCACCAAGAUUCAGGGACCUGGUUUGUCAGUCAAAUCCUUGGGGGUUGUCUGGUUGGGCUACUGGAGAGUGCCUCUCCUGUACAAUUGCAAGUACAAACCAAGAAGAAAUCAUUGAAACCAGGAUUUGGCCACCAAAAUAAUGAUAUUGCUAUGAGCACUGACUGCAAUAAACCCUGGGGAUUCCAUUGAGUGGAUGUGACCUUGGACAUUUUGACACAUGGACCAGUGAUGGCUGGCCAUCUUGGCAUCUUGGGGACAAGAUUUUUGCCUAUGUUGGUGUCACUAAAACAUGUUUCAUAUCAUUCUUAAGGUUAAUCUCCUCUAGUGUCUGUGUGAAUUGGGCAGACAUCCUAGCAAAAACUGCUGUUUGCUGGGUGAGCACAGCAAGUGUGAGUCAUAGACCCAUCUGAGUAGAACUGGUUUGAUACAGCCGGAAUGGUCACUUGGUGGCAGUCAGUCUCCUUAGGCUUGAGGAUUAUCAUAAUUUCUUUUGUUAUCUGUAUUGUAAUUUUCCUUAUUUGUAUAUUUUUGUAGCCUCUGUUGCUGUUGUGGAAUAUGGUUACAAUGCUCCAGCUUUCUUGCACAGGGACCAUCACAGAAGAUGGUGGGUGCAUAGACUGUGACAUGAGAAUCCUGGAGGAGUGGAGUGUAUGGAAAACAUAAGUUCCUAUGGUCAAGAUGCUCACUUGCCCCUGAUACACUCGCCCGCUGUGCAUGUCCAAUUCUUGCAGGUGCCGGCUCACACUUGGGUUGCCAGUGAGCUAUUAAGAGCUCUGCCCAGCGCUCUGGGGCUGGGAGGCGGUGGAGAAGCCCAGAGGAGAGACCAGUUUGUAUACAUACUGCUCUGGAGGCGGACAGGAUUCUAACGCUUGACCUACCACCACAAGAAUUAAGUUGGGUAUAAACUCUUUUACCCCAAGAAUGUUCCAUUGUUGUUAUUUGGUCUCACAGAAUCCAGAAUGAACUUGCCUGGGGGGAAUCCCUCUCAAGUGAGACAUUUAAUAUGUAAGAUUUAUGUUACAAAUAUUUUAUCGUUGGUUGUCAAAAAUAUAUCUGAGCAUAGAAAGAACCACAGUUCUGCUUUGAGUUUUAAAUAACUACCUUCUGUAACUAUAGUAAUGAUUUUUAAAAUUAUAUAUAAUAAAAUUUCGUAUUCCUUUUACAAUGAAAUCACAAUAAAGAUGAAUUUACAUACUUAAA